UGGGGACCGAGAGGAGCGCCGCCGAAGCGCCCGAAGGACAGGCUCGGUUGGCGCGCCGGCUCUCGCCCUCCUGCGAACUGGAUGUGGGCAGCAGUGGCCGCAGAGACCUCGGGACCCCCGCGCAAUGUGGCAAUGGAAGGCGCAGGGUCUGACUCCCCGGCAGCAGCCGCGGCCGCAGCGGCAGGAGCACCCGCCGUGUGAGCAGCAGCGGCAACAGCAGCAGCGGCAGGUCUGUCAACUGGAGCCCACGCCCGAGCAGCCUGCGGCCAGCAGCGUCCUCGCUAGCCGAGCGCCCAGGCGCUCCGGGAGCCCGCAGCGGCGGCAGCAGCGCUCCGGGCAGCUCGGGAAACCCCCGUCCCCGCGGCGGCGGCGACGGCGGCGGCAACAUGGCCUCGGCUGGUAACGCCACUGAGCCCCAGGUCCGCGGCGGUGGCAGCAGCGGUGCUCGGGACCGGCCGGCUGGCGGUGGGAGGCGCAGACGGACCGCGGGGCUAUGCCGCGCCCCCGCGCCGGACCGGGACUAUCUGCACCGGCCCAGCUACUGCGACGCCGCCUUCGCUCUGGAGCAGAUUUCCAAGGGGAAGGCUACUGGCCGGAAAGCGCCGCUGUGGCUGAGAGCGAAGUUUCAGAGACUCUUAUUUAAACUGGGUUGUUACAUUCAAAAAAACUGCGGCAAGUUCUUGGUCGUGGGCCUCCUCAUAUUUGGGGCCUUCGCUGUGGGAUUAAAAGCAGCUAAUCUCGAGACCAACGUGGAGGAGCUGUGGGUGGAAGUUGGUGGACGAGUAAGUCGUGAAUUAAAUUAUACUCGCCAGAAGAUUGGAGAAGAGGCUAUGUUUAAUCCUCAACUCAUGAUACAGACCCCAAAAGAAGAAGGUGCUAAUGUCCUGACCACAGAAGCGCUCCUGCAACAUCUGGACUCGGCACUCCAGGCCAGCAGAGUCCACGUGUACAUGUACAACAGGCAGUGGAAAUUGGAACAUUUGUGUUAUAAAUCAGGAGAACUUAUCACAGAAACCGGUUACAUGGACCAGAUAAUAGAAUAUCUUUACCCUUGUUUAAUUAUUACACCUUUGGACUGCUUCUGGGAAGGAGCGAAGUUACAAUCUGGGACAGCAUACCUCCUAGGUAAACCUCCUUUGCGGUGGACAAACUUUGACCCUUUGGAAUUCCUAGAAGAGUUAAAGAAAAUAAACUAUCAAGUGGACAGCUGGGAAGAAAUGCUGAAUAAAGCUGAAGUUGGUCACGGUUAUAUGGACCGUCCCUGCCUCAACCCAGCCGAUCCAGACUGCCCUGUUACAGCCCCCAACAAAAAUUCAACCAAACCUCUUGAUAUGGCCCUUGUUUUGAAUGGUGGAUGUCACGGAUUAUCCAGAAAGUAUAUGCACUGGCAGGAGGAACUGAUUGUGGGUGGCACAGUCAAGAACAGCACAGGAAAACUGGUCAGUGCCCACGCUCUGCAGACCAUGUUCCAGCUGAUGACUCCCAAGCAAAUGUACGAGCACUUCAAGGGGUACGAGUAUGUCUCACACAUCAACUGGAACGAGGACAAGGCAGCAGCCAUCCUGGAGGCUUGGCAGAGGACGUACGUGGAGGUGGUUCAUCAAAGCGUGGCACAGAACUCCACUCAGAAGGUGCUUUCCUUCACCACAACCACCUUGGAUGACAUCCUAAAAUCCUUCUCUGAUGUCAGUGUCAUACGAGUAGCUAGUGGCUACUUACUGAUGCUUGCCUAUGCCUGCUUAACCAUGCUGCGCUGGGACUGUUCCAAGUCCCAGGGUGCCGUGGGGCUGGCUGGUGUCCUGUUGGUUGCACUGUCAGUGGCUGCAGGAUUGGGCCUGUGCUCCUUGAUUGGGAUUUCCUUUAAUGCUGCAACAACUCAGGUUUUGCCAUUUCUCGCUCUGGGCGUUGGUGUGGAUGAUGUUUUCCUUCUGGCCCAUGCCUUUAGUGAAACAGGACAGAAUAAAAGAAUCCCUUUUGAGGACCGGACUGGAGAGUGCCUCAAGCGCACAGGAGCCAGUGUGGCCCUCACAUCCAUCAGCAAUGUCACAGCCUUCUUCAUGGCCGCGUUAAUCCCAAUUCCCGCUCUGCGGGCAUUCUCCCUCCAGGCGGCAGUCGUUGUGGUGUUCAAUUUUGCCAUGGUUCUGCUCAUUUUUCCUGCAAUUCUCAGCAUGGAUUUAUAUCGACGGGAGGACAGGAGAUUGGAUAUUUUCUGCUGUUUUACAAGCCCCUGCGUCAGCAGAGUGAUUCAGGUUGAACCUCAGGCCUACACAGAGACCCACGAUAACACCCGAUACAGCCCUCCGCCUCCCUACAGCAGACACAGCUUUGCUCACGAAACGCAGAUCACCAUGCAGUCCACCGUCCAGCUCCGCACGGAGUAUGACCCCCACACGCAUGUGUACUACACAACCGCUGAGCCGCGCUCGGAGAUCUCUGUGCAGCCUGUCACCGUGACCCAGGACACCCUCAGCUGCCAGAGCCCUGAGAGCACCAGCUCCACAAGGGACCUGCUCUCCCAGUUCUCUGACUCCAGCCUCCACUGCCUCGAGCCUCCCUGUACUAAGUGGACUCUCUCAUCUUUUGCUGAGAAGCACUACGCUCCCUUUCUCUUGAAACCAAAAGCCAAGGUUGUGGUGAUCUUCCUUUUCCUGGGCUUGCUGGGGGUCAGCCUUUACGGGACCACCCGAGUGAGAGAUGGGCUGGAUCUUACAGACAUCGUACCUCGGGAAACCAGAGAAUAUGACUUUAUUGCUGCACAAUUCAAAUACUUUUCUUUCUACAACAUGUAUAUAGUCACCCAGAAAGCAGACUACCCGAACAUCCAGCACUUACUUUACGACCUUCACAAGAGUUUCAGUAAUGUGAAGUAUGUCAUGUUAGAAGAAAACAAACAGCUUCCCAAAAUGUGGCUGCACUACUUCAGAGACUGGCUCCAAGGACUCCAGGAUGCAUUUGACAGUGACUGGGAAACUGGGAAAAUCAUGCCAAACAAUUACAAGAAUGGAUCGGACGAUGGAGUCCUUGCCUACAAACUGCUGGUGCAGACCGGCAGCGGCGAUAAACCCAUCGACAUCAGUCAGUUGACUAAACAGCGUCUGGUGGAUGCAGAUGGCAUCAUUAAUCCCAGCGCUUUCUACGUCUACCUGACCGCGUGGGUCAGCAAUGACCCCGUGGCUUACGCUGCCUCCCAGGCCAACAUCCGGCCUCACCGACCUGAAUGGGUCCACGACAAAGCUGACUACAUGCCAGAAACAAGGCUGAGAAUCCCAGCAGCAGAACCCAUCGAGUAUGCUCAGUUUCCGUUCUACCUCAAUGGCUUACGAGACACUGCAGACUUUGUGGAAGCAAUUGAAAAAGUAAGAACCAUCUGCAACAACUACACGAGCCUGGGGCUCUCCAGCUACCCCAACGGCUACCCCUUCCUCUUCUGGGAGCAGUACAUCGGCCUCCGCCACUGGCUGCUGCUGUCCAUCAGUGUGGUGUUGGCCUGCACGUUUCUCGUGUGCGCCGUCUUCCUUCUGAACCCCUGGACGGCCGGGAUCAUUGUGAUGGUCCUGGCCUUGAUGACAGUCGAGCUCUUCGGCAUGAUGGGCCUCAUUGGAAUCAAGCUGAGCGCAGUGCCUGUGGUCAUCCUGAUCGCCUCUGUCGGCAUCGGCGUGGAAUUCACCGUUCACGUCGCUUUGGCCUUCCUAACGGCCAUCGGCGAUAAGAACCGAAGAGCUGUGCUUGCCCUAGAGCACAUGUUCGCACCUGUUCUGGAUGGUGCUGUGUCCACUCUGCUGGGCGUGCUGAUGUUAGCAGGAUCUGAGUUUGACUUCAUUGUCAGGUAAGCUAGAGUGGAAGAGAAGACUUAUUUUUAAAAUCACUAUUAUUAGCUCAUGUGGUCUUGUUGCUUACUUGCUCCUGUAUCUGGUAGAUUGUAACAUCUCUUCAUUGUAACUGUUACUAUCUGUUGAAUUUAUUAACUCAGAGAUAGGCUAAGAGGUAAUAAAGACAAGCUGUCUUCUACACCUCUCUUGGAAAAUAGCUUGAAGACAAAAGAUGGAAGGUUUGGGGCUGGCAGCAAAGGCAGAUCCACAUCUUCAGGCUGAGGGAUCACCUAAUAUCCCAGUUAUCUGUGUCUCAGUUUAGAAAUAUCUACAAAAAGAGAGGACCACCAUUCCCAUUACUUGUUUUAAUUUGACCUUUGCUUUAUUUCCUUCAAAACCCUAGAAAAGAAAACUUAUAAAUACUUAAAACUGUCAACAAGACUUUAUCCUUUUAAGAAGUGAAGAUAAUGUGCCAGGAUUUCAUAUUCCAGUUCCCACAAAGAAGUAAGAAACAUUUAGCAUUUGACUUGUGUGUGAAGUUUUAGAAAUCCGAGCCUGGUUUGGAUACUUCUCUGUGGAUCUCAGAGCAAGCCAGUUUCUGGUUGAUUUGAUUAAGAAUAUGACUUUGUGAAGUAUAAAAGGAGAGCGAGUUUUCCUUUUGAAAGGAAUUUGAGGCCUGCAGAGAAAGAAAUCAUUUUGCUCUCUGAACAGCCCUGAUUGCUUUGUGAGGUGGCUGCUCUUGGAUGUAACCCUACUUUGUGGACAGGAGGCCAGAAUCAUCAAUAAGCAGAAGACAGUUCAGAAUGAGAGCUAUGAUGAUGCAGAACCAAGUGUGAGAAAGAAUUGGUUUGUUUGAGUACUUUCCGUGUGUGUGUAAGGGAUGGGAGGCUCUCAUUUUCAGGUAAAAAGAGGACUUCAACUAGAAGUACAUUCACUGCAGAAAAAAGGUGAAUCCAUUGGUCAGUGUGUAACAUCGCCCAUUAGCCAAAAUCAGCAUCACGGAUUCCGCCUUCCUAAAGGGAGUGCCAGAGUUUGCUGUCUGGUUUUGGCGUAGGGGGAAUGAAGACCAGCACUCCUCAGAUGGCACUGUUGCUGGUGUGACAUCGGAGGCUCUCUUUCAGUGCUGGGAGAUUUGCAGGGAGGGUGGGUUGCAGGAGGAGGGCAGACUGCAUUUCCAGCCAGCUCCCAGGCCAUAUUUAUGCCAAUACCAAAGAAGUGCCUAACAUAGUUAAAAGUUUUGAUCUGUUUUGUUCUAAUCUCUUAAAUUUUUCUUCAAAUUUUCCUUUAUUUUCUUAGUACACUUAAUCAGUCAUUAGUAUUGUCUCAUUACGCCGUAAAAGCCCAAUGUCAAAUACUUACGUUUGCAUAUUUAGGUUCUCAUACAACGCAAAUGUAAUGAGCAUUCCUGUAAGUGCCAUCUGGCACAAUAGCACAAUCACGUGGACCCCAGAACCUUCUGUGUAGCUUAUGGUCUUGGAGGAGAGAGAUAAGUUCACAGGCAACUCAAAACCAGGGAAAGCAUAGGGUACGCUGGGAUCUCAUGUGGGGGAUGAGGGUCUAACUCAGCCCUGUGGUGGAUGCUAAGUGAACCUGAUUUGGAGCACCCAGCUGGGAACCUGCAAGAUGGAAUCCCAGCUCUCUCAAUCUCACCCCCAGCUGCUUGCUCCCUCCCUGAGAUAUCAGGAUUCCUGUUUCAAGCACUUAAAAGGGCUUCACAUUUUCUAGAACUGGAUGGAUUAACCUGAUGAAGCCCUCACUGAGGUCGCAUAUAUGAGCAGACAUUGUAUACACUAAGCCGUCAGAAAUCUAAUUGGUCUGUUUAUGCUGCAGCUAGAUGGAUGGGAUGCAAAUGUCUUAAUGCCUGCAGCUGAUAUAUGCCUCCGCCGAAAGUUCCAGCAGUUUACAUUAGAGCAAGACAUUGGCUGCUAGGCUUUUGCUAAUGCAGCUCAGAAGUUUCUAAUGUUUACAAUAGCUGCAAGGUAUUUGUAUUUUUAUAGGUAUUCUCUCUCUGAUGUCGAAACAUAUAUAGACAUGGCAAAGUUGGUGCCUGCUCCAUUUUUAUGAACCACAGGACCAUUAAAAGAUAGAUAUCUUGCUCACACUCUUCCCAGAACAUCUUGAGCCUCUCCCCCACUUUCAUCAAAGUUGCCCUAGAAAUCAUUAGUUCCAGAAAUGCAUCCUUGCGUGGAGUCCGCGCCCCCCAGCUGUGUGGCGUGUCUGCCAGAGGAUGUCCCUGGCUGACAGGUUUACCUUGGUAUUCGUGAAGGAUCCCAGACCUUAGCCCUCAAUGGUGGGAAAGCAGAAGUACUUGUGCACUCUCUUCUUCUGCCAUGGUGCUGCGGCCUUUAUGUUUGAAUUGGCUGACGCAAAACAAGAGUAUUCAGAGACGCUAAAUUGUUCAACAAAAGAUUGGCCGGCAGAGCAGCCCGCCAUUGUGGAGGGCCCUCGCCCAGCACAAUGCCCCUGCUCCCACAGAAUGGGCAGCAUUUUCUUUGCAGAAAGCUGGUUCCUGUGUUCUAAAAAGGUUGCAAUUGGAGCUAUUUGGUAAAACUGGAACUCACAGAAUUCUAGGCAGAAAGUUGUGAUUAAUGAAAGCCCAGGGAAAGCCUUACCUGAUACACUGGAGACUUAAUUAGAGAUUCUGCCGUAAGAUGCAGAAGCAUUUCACAGUGGAUUAGCUGCCUGCAGAAGUGGGCUGCUUUUCCUCCUGGGCUAAAUUGUUUAAAUUCUACACCCUUCACUUCAUUUGUUUGCUUCUGCUGGGUUUUCGUGAACAGGGCCCCUCGGCAUUGUAUUGCGCUUUCAGUCUGCUCAGCCAUUCAGCUUGCAUUCCAUAUUUUUGUGUUUGUGUAACACAUUCAUAAAUAACAUUACAUGCCAUGAGAUUUCAGCAAAUUAACAAACUAAUUUUUUUUUCUUCCCUUCAUGAACUAACACUUUGAGUUGUGGAAUGUAGCCCUCAGAGUCAUAAGGUAUUUCUUUGCUGUCCUGGCAAUCCUAACAAUCCUGGGGGUUCUCAACGGACUGGUUUUGCUUCCAGUUCUUUUGUCUUUCUUUGGACCAUAUCCUGAGGU